UUUUUUUGUGGGGGGGGGGGAGAUCAUUUUUAUUUUUAUUUUUUUUCCUUCGUUUUUAUCUUUCUUGGAAGGAUGGAAAGAUACGGCGUCGGCAGAGAACGUUCCAGGCUUCUACGGCCGCGUCCCGAGGCUUCGAUGACCAGUCGUUUCACUGCAGACCAAUGUAGCCAUGAGUGGUUUUGUUGGACGAGUCAAAAAAUAAGGACAUUCCCUCUUCCUGGCGAUGGGCCCCGAGUCCCCCAGAAAGUCGGAGUCUGUGCUCUGCUCAGACUCGCUCUGUGAGCAAAUGACCGGAACGUCCAGAUGCUCCAACUCCGGCCCGACCCUUCCUUUCUCACCAGGCCUUUUCUGGAUCCCCAAGGACACUCCAGGCCUUCAGGCAAGUGGCCUCCCGGUGUGUCUGACACGCUUGAAAAUACGGGAUUCUUUGGAAACCACUCGAUACCUCUCAUCUGGAUCCAAUGACCCAGGAUAGUUCUUUUUUUUUUUUUUUUAAGAAAAUAAGAAUUGUUUCCCAUUAGGGAUAAAGGUAUUACAUUCUAAAGCAAGGCGUGGUUAAUUUAAAAAAAAAAAUUAGAGUUCGGGGAAGAUACUUAAAACAUGAUUGCAAAAGAAGACAACAGAAUGUCCCUAGGAUUACAUUAGGAGUCAGGACACCGCAGGGUUUUACAGGGACAGUUACACAAUAUCGCGGUAGCUGGGUUGACAGAGGCGUAGCCGAAGACGUGGGGUCUCUGCUGACACCCGACGCCGUCGCUGACCCGGUUGCAAGUCCUCCUACUCGCACGAGCACCACCGUUCGUCCGUUCGUCCGCAUCCUCCUUCAUCAGCUCCGCGUUUCUCUCUUCUGAUUCCACCGCGAUGAACGACACCUUGACUUUUCCGUCUUCUGUAAUAAGCUCCGGAGGCCCCGGAGAGCUCACAUGAUUUACCUGGAGCAACUCGAUGUUUCCAGCAGCUUUCGGUGACAUCUGGAGCCGGUUCUGGUCCCCGGCCCCCGGGGAGGUGCUACUGGCCCCAGCAGUAGAGGCCAGGGCUGCCGCUAGACACCCUGCGGAGAACGUCCCCACGAAAGAUGCCCCGACACCCGGGUUGUGGAGUCUCGUCCUAGAGUCCUGACAGCCUGUGCGUUUAGGUCUGAGAAGAAAUUCUACUUGGAAAAGGCGUGUGGACACGUGUCACCAUCAGUGUUCGGAGUGGCUGGCCUUCUGUACCGUCGCUUUUAAUAGAUUUAUUAUACGGAUCGGUCACAUGAUUUCCUGGAGAGUGCUUCAAAGCAGGAAGAAGAAUUUGAGGCGAACUGACAAAAAUUCAGCAUCGUGAAGGAAGACGUUUAGGAUGAAAGAAUUUGUAUGAAAAAAAAAUCUGAGCAGCCAAGUAGCUUAGGAGCUGACCACACCGGCACCUCCGUCCCCUGACACCUUUUUUCCCCUAAUGAUGAGAAAUCCCUGCUUUGUUUUGUCACGAGGCCUGAGGUUCCAUGAAUACAAAAGAACGUGGUUAGUGAGGCCAGUGAAGUAGAAGGAGCACUAGAGGAGGAGUCAGGGUCUGGGGUCCCCGGGGAGCUGGUUGUGAGACCCUGGGGGAUUCACCUCCCCCAUGGAGGCCCUGGAGUCUAUAAAAUUCAGUUGAAACCACAUCCGUAGUUUUCAAACUGUUUCGUUGGAGUCUGGUUUUUUUCUUUCUUUUUCUUUUUUUCUCUUUUUUUGAGAGAGUACAGAUGUCAUGACAUUUAUUAAAAGGCACGCUACGAUGCUAUACUUGUUAGGACAAGAGAUUAGAGAUAUCAAGCAAUAGCCAGCAAAUAUACAAACUGAACGAAAAUGGAAUAUAUUGUAGAGUACAGAAGCUUGAAUUACCAUGCACGAUGCAUAUAGAAGAUAUGUUUUUUAAAUAUUUUAUCUUCUCUUUGCAUUUAUAACAUAGUUCACUUAAAUGAUCACAGAAUCCUUUUUUUUUU